GAUCCUGGCUCAGGAUGAACGCUGGCGGCGUGCUUAACACAUGCAAGUCGAACGAAGAUGCCGGAGUGCUUGCACUUUGGCAGACUGAGUGGCGGACGGGUGAGUAACGCGUGGGUAACCUGCCUUAUACGAGGGGGAUAACAGUUGGAAACGACUGCUAAUACCGCAUAAGCGCACGGUAUCGCAUGAUACAGUGUAGAAAAACUCCGGUGGUAUAAGAUGGACCCGCGUCUGAUUAGCUAGUUGGUGAGGUAACGGCCCACCAAGGCGACGAUCAGUAGCCGGCCUGAGAGGGUGAACGGCCACAUUGGGACUGAGACACGGCCCAAACUCCUACGGGAGGCAGCAGUGGGGAAUAUUGCACAAUGGGGGAAACCCUGAUGCAGCGACGCCGCGUGAGUGAUGAAGUAUUUCGGUAUGUAAAACUCUAUCAGCAGGGAAGAUAAUGACGGUACCUGACUAAGAAGCACCGGCUAAAUACGUG
rnacentral:rRNA from 1 species